CCGUUUGGUUCGGGGUUAAGAAAAAAAUAGCUAUUCCAGGGAUAGAGUUAAGUUCAAAAUUAAAGUAGAGUUAAAGUUUUUUUGUGUUUGGUUGGAGGUUGGAGUUAGUCUAGAAUAAUAAAAAAUAGUGUUUGGUUGGGUAGGUGGGAUAAGAAGAUAAUGAUUGAUAAAGAAGGAUAAUGAUUGGUUGGAGUAGGUGGGGUUGGAGUAGGUGGGAUAAGAAGAUAAUGAUUGAUAAAGAAGGAUAAUGAUUGGUUGGAGUGGGUGUGAUAAGAAAGAUAGUGGGUUAUUAUGAAUAGAAAAUAGUGUUUGGUUGGAGUUUGGUAGGGUUAGGUGGGGUUAGCUAAUCCGAGAUAAUUUAUUUGAUGUAGGAUUAGGUGGGGUUAGCUAACCCCACCUAUUUUUUGAAGUGUUUGGAGAUAAAAUAGGGGUUAAGAGGUUAUUCCACCCCUUAACCCCCAACCAAACAAGAGCGAAGAGUUCGGUGCAUUCAAAAGUUUUAUAGCUCCACUCUUCCAUUAAAAAUCAAAUUUGGUGUUUGGUAAAAUGUUGCUCUUAAUAUUAACUAACAUAAUACCGAAGAGAUUCUGAAGACUAGAUUUUGAUCCUCGUACAAAAAAGUAAUAUUAUCUGUACACUCCUUUAUUGGACGGCUAUUAAUGCUUCAUCUUUGAAGCAGUAUUAUUCUAAAAUUUUGGAUAAUUUAUAAAAAACUUAUAAACUUUAGGGUAAACAACUGCAUGUUUGAUUCUCAGGCUGUGAGCGAGGUGAUAUUCUGAUCUUCAAAUUUUAAUUAAUUAUAAUUUCUAGUUCAAAAUUUUAAAAUUAUUAUAGAUUUUCAAAUCUAUAAGUUAAAUUUAAUUUUUAACAAAUAUAUAAUAAAUUUGAAGAGUAAAAUUUCACUCGUCCCGUAGUUCGGAAACCAAACAUGCAAAUCACUUGUAGCGACACAAAAAAAUUGUCGGAUCGUUAGCGCUAACCAUUAAUCCCAGAAGCUCAAGCUGCUAGAAAUACGCAACUAAUUCACUUAAAGUGUACAGAUACAACGUUCGAACAUGAUUCGGCCCAUCUAACCUCACGCCAUUUCGAACAUGACUCGACUCAACAUGAUCUCUCAGCCACGGCACAGAAUGCCGGUCCAUUUAAGCCGCAAAAAGUGAUCUGUCAGUGCUUUUCCGAAUAGAGCUACUCGCCGCGCAUGGAAUUGUCACGUGACUCGGCACGGGUUGGGGCUCGGGAGGGAGGCACGUGGCGCGAGACCCAAUAAGGAUCCGCGAGAACCGCCGCGUCACGGGGCUCCGCACGUGCCGCCACAGGGACACGCGUAAAGCGCAGAUGAGACCCGCGAGAAAGCAACCAUUCGAAUGUUGCACCACCUCGAAUCUCGGGCCCACCACGUUGCUUGCUGUAUACGAAUCCUGUUCAUAGUAACUGGAAAAAAAUAUAUAAAUAAACUUUAAAUAUUAUUUCCGUAAAUUUCGUACUUUUCUAUUUUACUGCCGGUUAAAACAAAUCAAUUUAGUAUUUUUUUUUUUUUUCAUCAAAUUCUUCGUUAAUAUUUUGUUAAAUUAUAUAUAAAAAUUUUUAAAUACCACAUCUAAAAUUAUCGAAUAUUUAUUUUAAUAUCUUUUUAGUUUUAACUUUAUCAUUGAUUUAACGAAAAAAAUUAGUAGAAAAAAAAAAUAAAAAAAAAUAAAAUUAGAGAUACGAAAUUAAUAUAUUUUAAAUUACAGAAUAUUAAAAUUUUAAAAAAAAUGAAAUUAUAAGCGUGAUAUUUAAAGUCCCCCCCCCUAAAAAAGGACAUUAGAAAUAAGUAAAUUACACUUUUCGUCCUCAAACUAUGAGCCAAGAUUAUAGUUUGAUUUCCAAACUUUAAUCUAGUAAUUUUUCUUAAAAAAAAGUAAAAAUUUCUCUUAUAGAUAGGAUUCAUUUAAUUCUAACAUAAAACUGUAAAAAAUAAUUUUUUGUAAAAAAAAUUGAUAGAGAAAAAAAUUUACUUUUUGUAGUACUUGAUUUGCGCGAAAAAAAUAUAUUUUUUCAUCGAUAUUUGUUUGCUUGAAAGAAAAAAAAUUUAUAUUUAUUUGAUACGGUGAAAAAAUAUGAAUGAAAAAAAUUUACGUAGCUUGAAUUUUCGUUUUCUACUAAAAAAAUAAUGAAAAAUAAAAACUUAAAUUUUUCUCCAAAUCUGUAAAAAUAUUUUUACGAAAAAAUAAUUUUACGUCAAACCAAACAAGCGUAAAAAUAUUUUUCAUACCGAACAAUUUUAUGAUUUAUUUUAUACGGAACUAACUUUUAAAAAAUUGUAAAUGUUUCUCCCAUAGUUAGCGAUUUUUUAGUUUAAUACACUGUAGUUCAAGCAUAUAACUUAGUACUUUCUAGUUUCAUUUUCACUAUCUGUUGGUCCCUUAAUUUUUUUUGUAAAAAUAUAUAAAAGAAACUUAAAAUAACAAUCCAGUGGUUUACCACCUUCUCACUUUAAUACCCUCUAAUUUUAACUUUAUUAUUAGUUUAACUAAAAAAUUAACAAAAAAAAUAAAAUCACAGAGUAUUAAAAUGAGACAUUCAAAAUAUGAGAGUACUAAAGUGAGAAUGCUAAACCAUAGAAAAGAUAUUUGAAGUGUUUCUUAUUCCAUAACUCUAACUUAAUUGAUAAAAUAUUAACAAAUUAUUAUUCUAGAAAUUAUGUAAAAAUAUUAUAAUUAAUGAUACAAUAACAAUUAAGAUGCUAUAUUAUUAUCACAUUAACAAUGUUUUCAAACCAAAAAUUGCAACAAUGACAAAUUUAAAGACCAAAAUAUCAUGCACCGCGUAAUUUAAGAACCAAAAGUGCAAAUUACCCUCAGCAGAGUGUGAGAUGGGUUCACCCAACAAUAACAUUGCUCUUAUAGAAAACUUCUUGUUUGAAAUUGGAUUAUUCUCUCCUUAUUAUUAGUUUUUUUUUCUUUUUUCUUUUUUUUUUUUUGCCUACUCGGAAACUAUAAUUUUAUGGUUAACUUAAAGAUACUCUGUAUCUCAAAACAUUGUAAAGUAGUUUCGUGAUUAAUCGACUUCAAACAACCCUAUUAACUAAAGCACUUGUACACACAAACACUUCGCAGCAAAGUGUUAAGUAGAAGAGAACCAAGAGCUUAGACUUGGUAUUAUGUAUUGUAGUAUGUAUGCAUGUACGUACAUACACACCUGAACUUGAGUUCUUUACCAUAGGAUCUUUCCCUACCUUUGAUUAUUAUCCCCCACCUUUAUUUGGUUCACAUCUAUUUUUUGUGAAAAUAAUAACAGAAAUAAUAAUAAUAAUAAUAAUAAUAAUAAUAUGUGUGCUUUAAAAAAAAUUGUUUUCGAUUUGAAAAUUGUUAAUAUCGUCGAGCUUCACAUCUAUAUUUGAAAACGAUUUGAAAAUUGUUAUUAUUAAUAAUAAAAAAUAAUUGUUUCCGAGUAGGUUUGAAAAUUGUUAUUAUCUAUAAUCGAAAAUAAUAAUAGAUUUGGAAACGAUUUGAAAAUUGUUAUUAUUAAUAAUAAUAAUAACAGUAAUAAUAACAGUAAUAAUAAUAAUAAUAAUAGUAAUAGAUAAAAUAGAGUUGAAUGUAAGUAUAUUAUACUUCUGAAUUUUUCGAUUAGACGAUAAAAAAUAUAUCGUAACUAAUUUAUUGUGAUAUACAAAACAAAAUAUUAUGUACAAUAUAAAAAAAUAUUUUAAAAAAUGCCUGACACUGACACAGUUAGAAAAAUGAGUUGCUAAAGAAUGGAAUUGGCCAAAUCUAGUGAUUUGGAGGUAUAGUAGUAAUCAAUUAUCACUCCAUAUAAAUCUUUUUUUCAUUAAUCCCCUUCACUAUACUCUGCAAAUUCACACUCUUAAUUAGGGACUCUGCUUAAUUUCAAAAUUGAACCCUAUUUAUUUAUUUUCACAAAUAUUUUAAACCAAAAACAAAUAUCAUGAAAAAUAAGAAAGAUCAAAACUAAAAAAAUAACUUUACAAACCUAUACAGCCGAAGAAGGAGAGGAAAGAAACCGAAACCGAGCUCUCAAUCUUCGGGGCGUUGGAUCUCGCCCAUCAUGAUGCGAUUGCUGUGGACCUUGAAACCCAGAAGCGACGGGUCGAUUUGCCGACCCUUCUUCCCCUUUUUCUUAAUGUUGCUCUUGCUGCCGCUACCCUGCAUGGAUUCUGAGGAGUCGGAAGGAGCAGAAGCAGACGCGUCGGCUUCCAGUGUGGGCUUUUUGCUGGUGCUCUUCAGCAUGUCGAUGAAGGAAGGCUCCGACGCUCCGGCAAUGAUGCCACCUGACGGCACUCGACGAAAUGUUGCAUCUUUCUUGGCAGACGAUGGAACGUCUGAAACGCCUCCAGGUUCUCUCUUAGCAUCUGCAUGUCCACGAAUAGAUCAUAAGCUUAUUUUUAAAUGAAGAAUUAAAUGCUUACUGAAGUGCACGAAGUUUCCUUUUUUUUCCCUCUUUGAAAGGAGAAAAGAGUUCUAACAAUUCGAUUAUGAAUAGGCAGUUUCCUCAUAGAAUAUAAACCUAUCUGAAACACACACUGCAUAAAUAUCAACGCACAUACUGUAGAGCAUCAAUAGAAGCAUAUACAUAGACACGACAAAAGUAUACGCGCAUAUGAGGGUAAACUUCAUUAAGGGCCCAGUGGUAUUGGGCAUCUCAUUCUAGUUUUCUGUACUGACCUUUCUGUUGGUACCAUUGGGUUUUGCUCCAUGAUAACCAGUUUGGAUUAUAUUUUGGUUCAGGUUUUGAACUGACCCAAUCAUGUAAGAAUUUGGUUUUGGAUUUGAGUUUUGAACAAAGUAUAUAUCAAAAUGCAACCGUGACACAAUCCAAACCUGUUCAUUUGGAUCAAAACCCAUUCCAAAACAGUGCUGACAGGAAGUCCUUUCAGAAAACCAGAAUAGCACCCUCAAGUGAGCUGAAGUGAUACAAACAAACCACAAUGCAUCGAUGUGAAAAUGCACUAUACACAUGGCCCCUUUUUGAAGUUUACCAUACAUAUAAACAUGCAUCUAGAUUGUGUGCACAAAAGAGAUGAGAGAGAGAGAGAGAGAGAGAGAGAGAGAGAGAGAGAAGGGGGCUUUAGGAAUCCUUACCUUUGACAGGAAGAGUAGAAACUAACUCCGAAAAUGCAGCCUCUGAUGAAACAGAAGCUCUCUGAUCAUGGGCGAGCUUUAGUGUUGAACUAUCAGUCCCCUUCAGAGUAGCACUAGAAUUCCUAUCAGGAAAAGAGUUUAAGCAAAAGUGAAGGUAAUUUAGCUAAUAGUAGAAUUAUAUAUCCACUACGAUUACAUUGUCAUUAGCUACUUGGUCCAAUAUAAAAUCAAGGAACAGUGAGAUAGUUAAUUCUUUAACAACUCUUUUACUUUGCGAUGUCAUUCUGGUAGUUUCAAUUUCAUCUCUUUCCUCUCAAAAUUGUUUAGCAGUUCUUCGACCAUUUACCAAUACCCGAACUAUAAAAAACCCUGAAAAAUCAAUAGAAUUUAGUGUUCCCAGAAAGCAGUCUAAUACAAGUUAACCUACUUUUCGGAAACUCUAAAGCAACUAUUUUCCGAGAGUAUGAUUAUUUCAAUUCUUCCUAUCUAAUAUUUAUCUUUUGAAAAGCUUAGUAAUUUUUCACCAACAACAGAAACCAGAACCUGAAACUCUGAAAAUAGCCAAAACUAAACUCAAGAAGCCUACACUGAAGCCUAUAUUGGGCUUUCAGUGAUCUAGUUAUACCAUCAAAUCGCAGUGAGACAGAUGUAACAAUGGCUUCCAGUAAUACAUAUAGUUGUUUCAGCAAUUGUGGACUAAUUAAUUGGAACAUAAGAGAGAGUGCAUAAGCAACAUGCUAGCCAGAGGAAUUAAGAAGUUCAGUUAUGAAAAUACUGCAAUAUAUUACUCAUAUUAUCAAAACAUACUGAGCAAAGCAUUCAAGUAAUAAGUAAGCUUACAUAUGAGAGUUUCAGACAUUCUGGAAAAACUUCACUAUUUGCUACUUGUCAUAACAUUUGAAAGAAAUUUAUAUACCUGUUCUUGCUUAUCUCGCCAACAAAAGCAUUAUCAUCUCCAACCUCAUAAUUCUGAAAGAUAGCAUCCCCACCUGGACAAAUCACAGUAAAGUUCACAUGGAUAUUGUGAAGUAGAAAAGGCAGGAAAAUAAUAUUUAAAGAAGAUUCUUCUACUAAUCACCUGCACUGCCAAAAGUGGCAGGUCUGUUAGGAGCAGCAACUUCCAUUUCUUCUUGACCUCUGCCUACCAUUUGCCCAACCCCAGCUUCAAGAUUGUCCAGAAUAGAUUUACCCAUGAAAUUAGCUUUAGAACCAGGUUUUGUUCUGCUCCUACCGUCAUUUGGAUCGGCAAAGUUCAAUCUUUCUAUAGAUGGAUUGCGACCCAUGGUAUUUACAAGCUCUUCUUUGUGAAUUCCAUCAGCAUCUGUGGGGAAAAGCUUCUGUUCUAGAAACAUUCCACUAGUAGAUUGAAAAGGCAUACCUUGACUGCCAAAAUUAGCAUUUACUAAUCCAUCCUGUGAUGCUUGCCUUGUCGUAGCGAAAAGAGAAUUUUCUACCAAUGAUUCACUGUAGUCUGUUCUAUCUGCAGCAAGCUUACAGGAAUUGUCUGCAAUAGGAUGAGAAUAGAGCCAAGAAGGCUCCCCACGGCCAUAAGAUGAUGAAGGAGAGACAUCAGAAAGCCCUAAUGACUGAUGAGAUUGCAGGACCAUCUUUUGGUUCAUCAUAUUUCCUAAAUCAUGUUCUCGGUUCUCAAAGGAUGAACUCAAUUUCACACCUCUCCUCUGCCUCUCUGCUUCAAUCUGGAACUGUCUCAACUGUGAUUCUAUAAGGUUAUUAGACAGCUGCCUAUUAGAGUCAACCAUCAAGUGCCCCUCCAUGGCAUCCAUGAGUGAACCACCAUACUGUUCAGGCAUCCUAUGUUGAUAGGGAUGAACACUAGAAUGAAUGUGUGAAAGGUCAUUCACAAGGUCAAUGUUUGGCGAGAGAGAGGUCGUAGGUAAUGAAAUUGCCCUAUCAAGAGGAUGGAUCCCCUGACCUCUGUUUAAUAGCUCAUGCAAUGCAACAUUCCGCUCAAUUUGGUUGUUGAGCUCAACGGACGAGGCUCUCUGAGGGGGGUGCACAAAAUCCAAUGGGCUAAGUCUAGAAGAAUGAUUAAGGUGUGCACUAGGUGAUGGCUGGAUGAACUGGUUAAAUCUUUCUUCCAUGUGCGAUUGCUGCCUCGAAGGAAUCGGAAAUUGCUGUGCUCGGAGCAUCUGUUCCUGCUGAAGAUCUAAAAGCAGCUUCUGUUGUUCGAAAGGAAGCAUCUGCCUACUGUUGGAAUGAGAUAAGAUAUCCAACAAAUUCUGACCAUGCUGACGGUUUUGCAUGAAUUUUGCUUGGAUAAGCUGCUCGACAAGUGCAUCAUGCUCUCGUUGAAGAUAGUGGGAUUGCUGCUGUGACUCAUUCAACAGGUGCUGCCUCAACAGAACUUCAUCAAGGAUGUUGUUAUUUCUGUGGCGUGGAUCGCCAUUUAAUUGCUGAUGCAGCAUUUGCUCCAGCAAUAAUUGCUGCUGCUGCUCCUGCUGCUGCUGCAGAAAUUGCAUCUCCUGUUGAUGAAGCUGUUGUCUUAUAUUCUGCUGCUGCAACUGCUGAAGACGUUGCUGUUGGUCAAGUUCAAACUGGAGUUUCAACAUGUGCUCCAAAUCCGGCACUUGGUGAUUAUUAGAUUGUUGAUGGUGCAGAAAAUCGAGAUUUUGCUGGGCCAGUAACUCUUCCUGCUGUAGUCGCUGCUUAAGUAACUGCUGGGAGAGGAGAUGCUCUUCUAAGUUGAACUGGUGUUCAAUAGUGGGCAAAUGACUAGCACCAAUAGCAUCAUGAAGUACAUUUGAACUACUAUUCUUCCUAUACUUGGUGGAAAAUUCAUCAGGAACCAUAUGUUGUUCCUGUCUAUGGCUAAAAAGAGAUACAUCCUUCACAGCCGCAGUUUCAGGAAACGGCUGAUCAACUGACAAAAGAGGGUUCUUUGGCUGAGUUCCUUCCAGCUCAGAGAAAAGUAAUCUACGGGAAUUCAAAUCAUUAUCUUUUGGGUCCCUUUGAUUAGGUAAAGAGACUUGUCCCACUUCAGAUGCCAUUAGAAUAUGACCACUAGAGGUCUGUAACAAAUUACUUUGGUCGCUAGUAAGAUUCACCAGUGGCCUAUCCAUACUCAUAAGCUUUCCCCUGUACAACACUUCUGCAGCAAAUAAGAAAGAAAACAAUCAAUAAAUUGAAACUUCUAAAAGAAUUUUUUUUAUUUUGGGGGGGGGGGAGGGUGGUGCCCCGUAAAGAAAACUAACCGUCAGCAUCCUGUACAGCAAAUUCAUGAAUUCGAGACUCAGAGUUGCCUCUAGCAGACUCCAAAGGCUCGAUAUUUUGAACAGGAGAUACAACAGGGACUUGUUCACUUUUUGAAGUCAAAUGUGGUAUAAGUUCACCAAGUGGCCUGAAAGGAGUGCCUUCUGGGGCAUCUGAAGGGCACACAGGUAGAUCGGUGCCAAAAUAUCCUUCUUCAAGCCAAGACAUAAUAUCAGCAACAAGAAAAGGGCCCUGUAUCCUUCCUUGCGGGUCCCGGUAAAACAAACUCAACUCCUCGGGAGGAGUAGAAGGAUUUGGAGCAACAUCACUACUAUUCGAUAAUUCAAUUGUUUUCUGAAUAACUUGGACGGUUGGUGUAACAAAGAGCGAACUUGAAUCAUAUGGCAACUUAGCACUAACAUCAAAAGUAGCAGCUGGGUCCACUUCUUCCAACUUUGAGUUCUUUAGAAAAUCUGAAUUUCUAGCAUGCCCAUCAUUAUUAAGCAAUUUUCGCUCACCAGGUUUCUCUACAGAGCCAUUGGUACCCAAGGAGACCUUUGUAUCAUAGAAAGCAUCAUUUUCUGAAAUUAGUGGAGAUAUGCGAUCAUUAUCCACUGCAAUAGUUAAAGAUUUGACAUUGUCGCUGAAUUCUCCAAGUAUGUAAUCUGAUCCUGAAAAAAUUGAUCACCAAAGUCAACUAUUCAAAAUCUAGUAGAAUUAACCAACAAGCUAAUAAAAGAAAAUUGUUAUUAAUGAAAAAAAAUGUAUCAGAAAUUGUUCUUACCUAUCUCAUUGUCAACUCCUGUCGCGUGCUCCUUACUUGGAGAAUCUGCUUCACUGCUAGUGACCUUUCCCUCCCAGAUAUCAUUUACAGCUGCCUGCAACCCACAUAAUUUAAUUCCCUUAGAAUAACUAAGUCAAAGAAAGUGCUUAUUUCCCUAUAAACAAAAUAACAUAUCAAAGCAUUUUUGCUAACUGAAAAGAUCACAUGGCUUCUUUCCUGGAUCAGGAUUUUGAAGAAAGAUGGAAGGCAAUGGGGAAAAAACCCAAUUUCUAAAAUAGUUAAUAAUCAUGUUAAAACAAGCAAAUGCAGUGUCAAGAUGCUAUUUGAGCAGAUAUGAACCUCAAAAAUGGAAAUCAUUAACAAUUACCACACAUGUAACAAAGGCGUAAAGUUCAUUUCGAGAAAACAAAUGAGGCAUGCACUUUUGAGUCAGAUUGAAGACACCUGCAUAUUGACACCUCAAUGACCGGCUAAAUGAAAAAAUGCUUUACUGAAGCGAAUAUAGAUAAGCAAUCUCCGCCUUACAAUCCAACUUAUAGGACUUACUUUUUUGGAUACAAAAAAUCAAAACAGGAGAAGAACAGUAUAAAUAUCAAAUCACAAUUUGACCCUUCAAAUCCUUUAUUUGUACAGUAAAAUACUGGGAAGAAGACUGCAUUAGUUGCAAUAAAACAAGGCGUCAAAAUAAGAGAGUCCAGUUAUAUUUGCAGUAAAAUCAACAUCUCUUAUCAUGUACAACUUAAAACUUGUCUAGUCAGCAGAAAAAAUCAUCUUAGAAAACAUAAGAAUAAAGUCAAAUAUAUCCAUUGGUUUGCCUUGUCCCAGGUCAGGAUAAAAGAGAAGGCUUGCAGUAGGUACUUUGACAACAAAGCAAAACUUUUGACAGAGAGACUGCUAUUCAACAUGAUUCAGCCUAACCAAUAAAAAAUGUGCAACAACUUAGUACAAUUCCCUGGUAUAUAUAAAAUUUACUAACUUCGCUACUCAAUUAACAUAACAAAAAAAAAACACACUUAAUCCCAAAGCUCACACAAAAAUAAGAACAACUUAGAUUGCCUUAGAUGUUCUGGGAAUAAAUCGCACAAUGUGUUGGCUAGGUUUUUGCAUAUAUUUAGAGAAGUAUACACAAAUGCAUCUAAUUUAAGGGCCAUAUGUGCAACAAAAUUAGCAAACAGAAAAAAUAAUACCAUUCUUUCCGUUACUCAAAUCAAUACCAUCCUUCAGCAAUUCCCCUUCUUCACAAGGCAUUACGCUUUUGCAGAGAGAAUAUUAUAUACUAGUUAUACUCAACUAAGUGAUCAGAACUUGGUACUCAACAUUCUUUAUAAACAACCUUUUCUACCUUGAUCAGUAUGAAUUGCCAUUCCAAUGAUACAAAAAAAAUAUAAAGCAAAUUCCCAUAUUGAUAUGAAGAAAAACUUUUGUUCUCAAAGGGAAGUUAAUAAAAGCACUAAUCUUACUUAACUAAAAAUUAAGCAUACCUUCUCAUCAUCAUCUAGUGUGAGGAAGGCCAAUGGAGUCACAGAACUAGACAACGUAAUGGAAGGAACUUCUUCUAGACCCUCAGGAGUAGCUUCAAAUGAUGGCAGUGUCCUCUGCUUCCUAUAAAUGUCAAGAAGCUUUCCUCUUGGAUACCGAAAAGUAUGAACAGUUUCAGACACAUUCCUUUCUACUGGCAAAGCACCAAUAGGCCCAGUAGAGAACGACCUGCUUAAAUUUGACCUACCCCUUCCAGGGGCAAAUCCCACAUUUGAUCCCUCUGCACGCCCUUUCUCUAACCCAAAUCCAGGAGCCCCAUGAUGGGCCAUAGUGGACCCACCAGAUUGAAUUUCCUGGCGGUAGCGAGGCCGCCAUUUAUCACGUGAGUCUGACUCCGACAAUGGACGGAGCCCACCAGAAAAAGGCAGCUGCUGCUUUUGAACAUGAGAAUCGUCCUUGUCUACAUCCAUCUUCUUCUCCAGUCGAGAGUCCUUCUCUUUGUCUUCUGGGCCCCACCUCGAUGACCAUUUGCUAUCAGCAACUUCUCUCAUAGAGAUAUUAUCAGAACGGCGAUUAUUUUUGCGAUAUUCAGCAGUUUCUCGAUCUCCUUCCUUUCUACGCUCUCUCCUACCAAGUAAGCUAGUUUCUCUUUCCUCUUCAAGCCAACGACGAUUACUAUCAAUAUCGGGCACAUUCCUUCUCCAUUCUUUCUUAUCCAGAGAACUAUCCAACCGCCACAUAUCUUUUGGAGUGGGUGGGCGAGCAUCCUGUAGCAAGAAGCACCAUAGAGAAAGUAAGACAAAAGAAGAAGAAGAUGAAGAAGAUAUAGUGGGAGGAAAACAUGAGAAUGCAAUACCAUUUGAUUGCUAGCAUUGCAAUAGGUAAUUUGAGACCCAAAGUCAUAAAAGUUGUCUUAAUAUCAACUCUUAUGGAUAAACGUUCAAAAGAACUAAAGCAGGAUGUAGACUAAACAGUGACAAUCUUAAGCAUCUUAUUUUACAAAACAUAGAACUACAUGUCUCAGACUAACAAUAAUCUUAAAUAUCCUGCAAGUCAAAAGUUUAAAUUUUUAUCACAUGAGUACCAGGAGAGAUGCAACUCGGAUAAACAACAAAAAAUGUAACUAGAUAUAGAUGAAGAUCGAGAAUGAAUAACAAAAUGUUAAUAACAAAGCAGACCAGUCAAUUUAAAAAAGAAAAAUGAUGACCUGCAGCUAAAGCAUUCAUUUCCUUUCUUAGGUGUGUAGUUAUGGGUCUUCCCAAUAGACCUGGGAAUUGGAUUUCAUUAACUAGGUUAUCCAUCGGUAUUGCAGAUAUACAACCACGAUCCAGCCGUUGGGCCUUCUAACCAAUCUUAGAUUCCUUUGAAGCCCACUAUUCCUCUAUACAUGUUCACCAAUCAUACAGCAACCUAUGACUGACUAGUUUCAAAGAAAAAGGAUUAUAAAACCAUCUUCCUGGACAUAUUAUGAUUGCUAAUUCUGCAAUCCUGAUAUCAUACAGGAGUUGAACUAACAUCUUCAAGAGUCAAGACAUUGAAAGGAAAGAGGAGAAAAGGAAAGCUAAAACCUUAUAUCUGAUAUUACAUCUAUUAAGUAUAAUUUCCCACUGAAAUGACAUGAAUAAGACAUAACAAGAAAGAAUUAAACCUUCAAAGAAGAGGCAACAUAAAUUUCCUCAUUAAAAAUGUGCAUUUGCAUGCUCCAUUUAUCGAAUAGCUACACAGGUUGCAUAAAUUUAGGGGGAAGAGAAUAGACUAAUACCCCUGAUGCAGCAACAACACCAAACUUGCUAUCAGCAGGUUUAGCAUAAAGCCAUUGUGGCGAAAGAGGAAUGCUAUUCUCAGCCGAAGGUUGAUCUGCAGACAGAACAUGUAAAUUAUAAAUACAGUGGUUGCAGAUACAUCGAAAAAUUAAAAAUAAUAUUGUCAGCUUGUAAAAAUAUAAUCCACUACAAAAGACUAAAAUUUGUGCAAACAAUGAAACAUAUGAAAGAAACAAACAAUGCACACAAUCUUUUAUGACAAGCAGCAACCAGAAAAGGUAAUGUAUGUAUUCAAUUGAUGGGUGGCUAGAACAUCGUGAAGUCUGCGGAAACCAUAAAUACAGUAAUAAAUAAGGCAGCAAAUAUCAAAAAGGUGUGCAGAUGGUAGUACAGUAUUCUCACUCGCACCUUCUUUAAACAACUUAAAGAUUGCCUAACGAACGACGAAUUCCAAGUUCUUCGUGUACAACAGUUCUACCAAAUUUCAUAUUUAAAUUUUUCAUCAAAUCCGCCAAAUCAGCUAAAUCUAAAUCAAUCAAAUACUAGCAAAAGCUCUGAGUUUCACAUUUCAAGCUAUGAUAGAGUUACCAAACUCUUUACGGUGAACAAUCUACUGCUGCAUCAAGCAUCAAGCACAACCGGAAAGAGGCUGCUCUCCAAACCCACUAAGUAACCAGGCGUACUACAUAACCUCCAGAAUAUAAUAAAGCUGCCUGAGAAUCACCCCAACUUCCACAACAAGGAUGAUAAAACUAUGAACUGCUUAAGUACUACAAAAGUCAUCGGCGAGAAACUACACGAAAUCACCUUUUGAUUCAUUGAGAAAUCCCACAAGAGCCUUCUCGUCAUCAUGCUCAGCAGAAACACCACCUGCCAAAUUUAAAGGCAAAAAAAAAAAAAAGCCCACCAACCAAAUUAGCAAAAAAGGAGCAACCAACAAGCAUUUAAACGAAGAAAACAAAGGAAAAAGGAAAGGAAUAACCACAGUAUCUGUAUACUUAUAUGCUCAAAUUAAGGCCUCUGAUACAAAUUAUAUAGUAAGAUUAAAAAAGUAACACAGUUUCAGAUCCUUCGCACAUCAAAAUGGAAAACCAACUAAGAAGUUUCCAAAAUAUAAGCACUUAUCAACCACAAACACCAUGGACUGAAGCUACUGUAGAACCAAAACAGAUCUUAACGCAGAGAAACACUAAUCGCGCAACAAAAACCCUAAAUCUCCGCAUGCGGGUAACAGAGAUCGAACGGGUAGGGAGCACGCGCGAUCGAUCCCGUCCGAUCGAAAUGGGGGCGAGGGGAUGGCGACAAGCUCACCUUUUGCGGCCCACGCCGCCACCUCCUCCGCCGCCGCCGCCGCCGACCUCGCGGCCCGGCGAAGGUGGUCAAGGGGGCCGAAUUAGGGUUUCCCCGGAGUUGGAAAACCUAGGGAUCGGAGGGGUUCGAGAGCGAGAGUUUGCAAUCGAUCGAGGGAUCGAGGGUUUGAGAGGGCUAGGGUUUCGCAAACGAGCGAGCUUUGAGAGGGUUGUGAGAUUUUUGGAAACACGAGAGCAAGAGCGAGAAAAAACUAAAGCGAUGAGAUGAGAGAGAUUUAUCUGAAGGAAAUAUGCAUUUAGCUCCCUAGCCAAUCACUUAUUUACAACCCCGUUAAAACCGAAAAUGGGUUCAACAUUUUAUUAUGGAUAAUAAUUUUAUUUUAUAAAGUAGUAAUUACUGUAUAAACUAUUUAAUAUUCUGAAACGAUCUAAGAUUUUGUAAAAUAUGAUUAUAAUUUAUACUUUUUCCGUUUGGUUCGGGGUUAAGGAAAAACUAGCUAUUCCAGAGAGUUAAGUUCAGGAUUAAAGUGGGGUUAAAGUUUUUUUGUGUUUGGUUGGGGGUUGGAGUUAGUCUAGAAUAAUGAAAAAUAGUAUUUGGUUGGGUAGGUGGGAUAAGAAGAUAAUAAUUGAUAAAGAAGGAUAAUGAUUGGUUGGAGUACGUAUGAUAAGAAAGAUAGUGGGUUAUUAUGAAUAGAAAAUAGUGUUUGGUUGGAGUUUGGUGGGGUUAGGUGGGUUUAGCUAACCCGGGAUAAUUUAUUUGAGGUGGGGUUAGGUGGGAUUAGCUAAUCCCACCUAUUUUUUGGGAUGUUUGGGGAUAAAAUGGGGGUUAAGGGGGGUUAUUCCACCCCUUAACCCCCAACCAAACAAGGGCUUAAAGAUCAUGUGACAAUGCUAUUAGAGAAAAUUAACGGAAGUAAAACAUAUUUUAUCGGUUGAAAUAAUCAGAUUUAUGUGUUUUUUUUCUUUAAAUUUUUGAAAAUUUUUUGUCUGAUGUGAAAUUUGCUUGAAUGUCCUGCAUAUUUUUUAAAUUUUUUUAGAAUAGUAAUCAAUAAAAUGUCGAAAAAAAUCGUGUUUUUUGAUUUGAAUGGACGAAUAUUUAUCCUCUUUGGUGGGUAAGAAAAUAUGUAAUUUUUUUUUAAAUCAAGUUCACAGAUAAAUUUUAAAAAUUCUUUAAAUUUUGGCUUAAACUUGCCCCAACAGCUAAUGACUUAAAUAAAUGAAUUCCAUUAAACUUUUGACUUAUCACUGAAUCAUUUUCUAAAUAUGAGUUAUGAUUAAUGAUUGUGAUGUUGGAGCCUAUUAUUAGUCAAUUAAAUUGGACCUGACUCAUAAUAUCCCAAUCCAAAUAUGAAGGAAUUCUAAAUAGGUGAAAACGUAUGGAAUUUAUCUAAAUUAUAAACCAUUUUGAAUUGGUUGUCAAUUUUUUUAAAAUUUAAAUUUUACUAUUCAAUCUUUUUAAUUUGUUUGAUUUGAAUUAGUCAAUGGCACUUUGAUUUUAAAAUUUAAAUAAAUUUAGUUAAUAUAUACUUUAUAUAAUUUUGCAACUAUACAUUUAUUAAGUUAAGUAAUUAGCUUAAAUUUUAAAGUCAAAUUAUCGUUAACCGACUCAAAUCAAAUAAAUUGAAAAUGUCCGAUAGUAAAAUCAAAAUUUUAAAAUGAUGGGUGGCCAAUGCAAAAUAGGGCAUAAAUCAGAUAAGGUAUGUAUGAUUUUAUCUUCUAAAUAUAAUGAAACUUUCACUCACUUUUUAUUUAGUAAUAAUAUUGUAUUAAAAAUGAUAUUUAUAAACUUGUAAACAGUUGUAAAUCUUAUGACUCAUUCAUUCAAAAACUAAUUUUCUCUCACUAGUCUUAAAUUCAUGGAGUUACAAAUCAAUUCAAUUCACCUCGAUUUAGCACGAAACAAAAUAUAACUAAUGAUUGAUAAAUUUUGCAAAAAAAAAAAACUUUAUUUUUUUAGGUACAAAAUUGAGUAUCAUGGAUGGUAGUGAGUGUCCAUAAAAGGUGUUCAAAUCAAGUUUUUUAGAGUCUAUUUGGAUGCAUGAAGAUUUUAAUUAAUAAUUUUUUUUUCUAUUUACCAAUAAUGUGCAUGAUCAAUGUUUAAAAAGAUAUAAAAUAUUGGGCCUCGAAAUCAUUCUAUGAUAAAUCACCUCCUGGUGUGGCUUUUAAACCUUUUUAAUGAGCUAAGAUCAAUAAUAAAAAUGAAGUACUCGUAAUAAAUAAUUUAUAACUAGGUAAUUUAUUCGGACAAUUAAACGAAUCAUUUAAACAUUCAUCAUUUAGAUGUUAUUUCAAAUUGUACGGAGAAUUAAUGCAUUAGAUACGGUUAAAAAAAAUACAAUAAGAAAAUUUCCACCUGCUAUCCUAAAGAACUCAAUAAAAAUAAAUUAAAAUACAAACAAUUAUCUCACUUAAAAGUGGAAUUUUAAUGCUCCUUCUAAAAAUUUUACAGUGAAAAGAUACUUUGGGGGUGAUUCCAAGGAAUUUCAGGAAAAAUAAAAUAAUAAUAAGACGAGAAGAUAGAAAGAAACUUCAAAGUUGAGCUCUCCCAUAACACUUCACUAAGGCUGCGUUUGGUUCGGGUAUAAGUAAGAACUGCUAGUUCUAGGGAUAGGUACAAGUUCAGGUAUAAGCAGGAACUAGACCAAUUUUGCGUUUGGAUGAAAAUUGGGUUGUUCCUGGGAAUAGGGUAAAUAGUGUUUGGAUGAUUAGAUUGGAACAAGAGGAAUAAACGUUAUAAUUUAAAAUUAAAAUUAUAUUAUGUAAUUAAUUAACAUAAAAAUAUUACUUAAAAAUAAAUAAAAAAUUAAUUAUUAAUAAUUAAUUAUAAAUAAUAAUUAAUAAUAAUAAUUAAUUAUAAAUAAUAAAUUAUUAAUAACGAUUAUCUAAUUAAUAAUAAUUAUUAUUAUUAUUAAUUAUUAAUAAAUAAUAAUAAUUAUUAAUUAUUCUUAUUAAUUAAUUAUAAAU
rnacentral:lncRNA from 1 species